GGCUAAUACCUUGGGCUGGAGGUCAGGGGCUGAGGGGCAGGGGAUUGAGACGCUGGUGGAAAGAGGAGUUGCAGGCAUUGGUAGUGACCAUGGGAGUGAAUGGCUCUUCGCAGAGAGGAGCAGAUCAAGGGACCAGAGGCCAGCAUGGAGGCAGCAUCCUCUGUGGGAAUCCUGAGAGAACCAAGAACUAAAACAGGGAUAGACAGAUGGAGAGGGAUACCGAGCCCAGGGGAAAGGCCUUAAGGGUGGAGGCAAGAUGGGACCCAGGGGUUGGAGAUGUCUUCAUUGAGCACGCCAGACCCUGUCCCAAGCUGGGUGCAGGUGUCUCCUUGUGGAGUCCUUGCCAUCACCCUAGGAGG
rnacentral:lncRNA from 1 species